GAUGAACGCUAGCGGCAGGCUUAACACAUGCAAGUCGAGGGUAUGCUUCUUCGGAAGCAGAGACCGGCGCACGGGUGCGUAACGCGUAUGCAAUCUACCUUUUACAGAGGGAUAGCCCAGAGAAAUUUGGAUUAAUACCUCAUAGUAUAACAUGACCGCAUGGUCGAGUUAUUAAAGUCACAACGGUAAAGAUGAGCAUGCGUCCCAUUAGCUAGUUGGUAAGGUAACGGCUUACCAAGGCUACGAUGGGUAGGGGUCCUGAGAGGGAGAUCCCCCACACUGGUACUGAGACACGGACCAGACUCCUACGGGAGGCAGCAGUGAGGAAUAUUGGACAAUGGGCGCAAGCCUGAUCCAGCCAUGCCGCGUGCAGGAUGACGGUCCU
rnacentral:rRNA from 1 species